rnacentral:lncRNA from 1 species
CAGGAUUAUCUGGAGGGAGUAUCAGCUGAACAGAGAUCUGCUGCUGUGAAGAUGAUGUUUGUUAAAGAAGAGAGUGAGGAGAGCACGAGUGAACCAGAAACCUCCAGAAUAAAACUUGAACCAGAAACCUGCAGAACAAAACACGAGGAACCAGAAAACCGGAGAAUAAAACACGAGGAACAAGGAGACCCGUCUGUGCAGCAGUCUCCACAAGAUAUACCAAAGAAAUCAAGAGUCGAGAAGGCUGAAAAAGUGUUAUCACCUCUGUGGGAUCAUCCACAGAUCUCUGCAGCAGAAAAGGCUAAAGAAACUGGAGCCCCUACCCUGCAAACUGCUCUGCAGGAGGCAAAGCAGACCAUUGAAGUUCAAAAAAGGGAGAUUGCUACCCUAAAAGAAUGGGUAGAUACACUUAAAGAGGAAAGAAAUUUCCUCCGCGAAAGACUUACAGAGGCUCUUGCAUUUAGAAGUAAUAUCCCACCUAUAAAGCAGGCACCUGAACAGAGGAAACAGGAGUCCGAUAUAUCUGACUCCUCAUCUUCUGAUUCAUCGUCUGAGCACGAUUCGGAGUCCUCAGAGACCAAGAAUAGGAAGAAGAAGAAGAAGUCCCAGUCCAAAACGGCAAAAAAACGGGGCAAGACACUAAGAGUCAAAACCCCUGACGACUCCAUCCGCCGCUACACAAUGGUAUUGGAAAAGGUUAAAAAGGAUCGCAUCAGCAAAGCUGAAGCUUAUUUUAGGCUUGGGGUAGAUCGGAAUACCAUUGUGUCUCAGGCUCCGAUUGCAGAACUUGCAGCAACUAAUCCAGAUCUGUUCCAUACCCUGAGGUCCACUUUUAAAAGAAAGGACAGCCUGAAAAGGUUUGUUGAAACUUGCAGGGGGUUUUGUGAGCAGGAGCCUACAGCUUCAGCUAUUUUAAAGAAAAAAUAUGAUGGAUCCUUACUGGAUAUUUACAAGAACUAAGCAAGUUUGUAUGUUAGUAUGCCAUGUGUUUGUGCCAUUUAUUUGUUCAUUUUAUUUUUGUUUAGCAUUAAAUAUUUCAUGAGGAGUCCACAUGAGUAGCUUGUUACAUUAAAAAGUGGUUCCUUACCCUUAAAAAAGACCAAGCUGUUUGUGAAACCUUUUUCAUCUUUUUUAUAAAGGCACUAAAAGUUCAUGGUAUAUGUACUGUAUUCCUAAUAAGCUCUUCCCAGGCAUUGCUGUUCAUUUAACUGGGUUAUACUGUUUCUGAAUAAAACAGAAAGUUAAGAUCAAAGUCCUUCUGUGUCCAGUGCAUUGUGUGCAGAAGCUUGAACUUUCAUGUUCAUAUUCAUGUCAUUUCACAAUCAUGCCAUCAUUAAUAACACACCAUUUAUCAGUAUUUAAAAUGUCCAAGUCACCACACACGAUGAAGUCAUGAAAAACUAAUGCUUAGUUAAUGAUGAGUACUGUUUUUGGGUGUUAACAGAAACAAACACAGAGACAACAACACACAAAACAAAAAAAAAUGCAUAAGUAAAUAUAAAUAGACAAAUAUUGAAAAAUAAAUCGAAAAAGUAAAUAAAUUGUAUGAACAGUUGUGCUAUAGUUAAAAAGACCAAGCUGUUUGUGUAAACCUUUUUUCUAUCUUUUUUUUUUAUUUUAUAUUUUUUUGGAAAUCCUUUAACAGCUUUAUGGUUUUAAGUGUUUUCAGAUAAAGGCACUAAAAGUUCAUGGUAUAUGUACUGUAUUCCUAAUAAGCUCUUCCCAGGCAUUGCUGUUCAUUUAACUGGGUUAUACUGUUUCUGAAUAAAACAGAAAGUUAAGAUCAAAGUCCUUCUGUGUCCAGUGCAUUGUGUGCAGAAGCUUGAACUUUCAUGUUCAUAUUCAUGUCAUUUCACAAUCAUGCCAUCAUUAAUAACACACCAUUUAUCAGUAUUUAAAAUGUCCAAGUCACCACACACGAUGAAGUCAUGAAAAACUAAUGCUUAGUUAAUGAUGAGUACUGUUUUUGGGUGUUAACAGAAACAAACACAGAGACAACAACACACAAACAAAAAAAAAUGCAUAAGUAAAUAUAAAUAGACAAAUAUUGAAAAAUAAAUCGAAAAAGUAAAUAAAUUGUAUGAACAGUUGUGCUAUAGAUGAUAAUGGAAUAGAGUAAGAUGCAGGGAUGUACUAGGAUGGAGGUGGUAACAAAUAAAUAUAAGGUUAAUGCACAUUUUAUUGUAUAAGUGGGGAACAUUUAACUGUUCAUGAGGUAGAUUGCCUGGGGGAAGAAACUGUUCUUGUGCCUGACUGUCCUGUGGCUCUGAAGCUCCGGCCAGAUGGCAAAAGUUCAAAAAGGGGUUAACUUGGAUGUGAGGGAUCUGAGCCCUUUUCCUCACUCACUUUUCCUCCCAGAAAACAUCAUGAUCAUGCAUCAUACAGUGAAUCAUAAGUCAUGAUGAUGUACCCAUCUUAAUGUCUUAAGGUGUUGUUCAUCCAUGAAGUCAUGAUAGAAAUACUUUGAAUUCCUGUUAGUUCCUGAUAAUUCAUGAGAUAUUAAUGCAUGAAGUAAUGCAUAAUUCAUGCAUUAAUUUAUGCAUAAAUUCAUGGUAAUUUGUGUACCCUUACUGUAAAGUGUUACCAAAAUGCAAAACUCACCUGAUGCAAAUUCUUUGCUCUUCAAUUUUUAUAAGCAGAGUUAAUAAACCCUGUUAUAUCUCCUUGUGAGUUAUUCAAAGGUACUCUGCCAACUUGUUCGGACCAAAGUGACUUGAACGCACCCGAUGUAGUAAUUAUGACUUGUCAACUCGUAAGUACGAACAUCCGAGGAGGACUUGAACGCAGCAUCAUACACUUGCAGUCUUUAUUUUUUAUUUGGUUCUAUCUAUUUUGUUUGUUUGUUUGAAUCUCUCAACAUUUUACAACAGUAGCCAGGUGGUGAAAACAAGAAAAAAGGAACUAAACUACGAAGUCACUUGCAAUCUUCACUUGCACUCUCCGCUACCUGCGACGUCACUUGCAAUCGACACAAAUUGUGCGAGUUGCCAAUGGAGACAAGAUGCUAGUGGUGCUUAAAUGAUUAAAACUAAUUUACUGUAAUGUACAGGGUCCUGCAAGCCAUUUGUAGGAGAAAAAGACAAGACCCGCAAAUCUGUGGCCACAGAACAGCAAAGUCUCGCGUUAAGCCUUUUUCCUCUUGUAGAAAACAUAAACACUUAAUAUGGAUUAAUGUAUUAAGAUGCUAUUAAAAUAUCAAAUUCAAUAUGCACUUUAUUAAUAUAGUGAACAUGAAUAUAUUAUUUUUCUCCCAUACCACAAAACGUGGCAUAAUGGACUAAGAUGAUAAAGACCAAACUCCAUAUACUCCUCUUCAUUAUUAAAAUGUACAGAACUAAUAUGUACAGCAACAUGCAAAGUUUCACGUAAGGCAUUUUUUCCAUGUAGAAUAAACUAGCUACAGCUCUUUUAUAUCAUUGUCCUUGUCCAUUAAGCUACAUUACGUGUUUUAUUUAUAAUGAUUUUUUAUGGGAGGAAGAUGUUUAACAUGCAAUUUAACGCAUUGCGUUCUGAGCUUGCCUGCAUGGAGUUGAUCCUUUUAAUAUCACUUAAUGCAUUUAAUAAUGCACGUUCAUAUUUGCUGGUCUAUAUAUAGUUUGAGUCAACAACAAGACAUAUAGGCUAGGCCUACUGAAUUGUCUUUAUCACCUUAAUACGUUAUUAUAAAUCAAGAAACUCUACCGACCUCAGUGUGUAUCAGUCUCUCCUCUCUUCCUUCUCUGCAAAUGUCUUCACUGCUAAAACAUCAUCCUACCACAACAAAAUUAACAACUGUCGUGACGCUCGGACACUCUUCAAAACUUUCUCUUCUCUUCUUAAUCCGCCUCCACCUCCUCCUCCAUCAACUCUUACAGCUGAUGACUUUGCAGUUUUCUUCACAAAUAAGACAAGAACCAUCAGUGACCUAUUCUCCACACCGCAGACUGAGGAUAACUUCACAACGACUAAUGCACACUCUCUCUCCUCCUCCUCUCCACUCUCAGAGACGGACGUUUCCAAACUUAUUCUGUCCAGUCAUCCUACUACUUGCCCACUUGAUCCGAUCCCCACUCACCUCCUUCAAGCGAUUUCUUCUUCAGUCAUACUACUUGCCCUCUGGAUCCGAUCCCCACUCACCUCCUUCAAGCGAUUUCUUCUUCAGUCAUACCUUCACUUACUCACAUUAUCAACUCCUCUCUUCACUCUGGAACAUUUCCCUCAGCAUUUAAGCAGGCUCGGGUAAGCCCACUGCUGAAGAAACCAUCUCUAAAUCCAGCACUUCUAGAAAACUACAGACCGGUAUCCCUUCUUCCAUUCAUUGCAAAGACACUCGAACGAGCUGUGUUCAACCAGCUCUCUAUGUUUCUUGUACAGAACAACCUCCUGGACAGCAAUCAAUCUGGCUUCAAAAGUGGCCACUCAACUGAGACUGCCCUGCUCUCGGUUACUGAAGCCCUGCGACUGGCAAGAGCAGCUUCAAAAUCCUCAGUACUCAUUUUGCUGGACCUGUCUGCUGCUUUUGACACUGUUAAUCACCAGGGCUGCAGACAGCACUCCUUGUUUGUUUAUCUUUAUUUUAUAAGUGCACAAAGUUUUGUUGUUAUUAUGUACUGUAUACAAAGAAAGUAGACCUUUACAGAUUCGAUUGAUGUAUUGCUCUUAUCUGUACGAUCAAACUGAAAGUGUAAUUUAAGUUAUUUUCGGGUUAUCAGGAGAAAUACCCAAAACACAUAUACGCAUUAAUCGACUUCAGAGGGUUAAGUCCUACCUCUCCGAUAGAUC